rnacentral:rRNA from 1 species
UACGUUCCCGGGCCUUGUACACACCGCCCGUCACACCACGAAAGCUGCUUGAACCAGAAGUCCGUGACCCAACCUUCGGGAGGGAACGGCCCAAGGGUUUGGGUGGUGAUUGGGGUG